rnacentral:rRNA from 1 species
AACGAACGCUGGCGGCAGGCUUAACACAUGCAAGUCGAACGCCCCGCAAGGGGAGUGGCAGACGGGUGAGUAACGCGUGGGAAUCUACCUAGUUCUACGGAACAACAGAGGGAAACUUCUGCUAAUACCGUAUACGCCCUACGGGGAAAGAUUUAUCGGAAUUAGAUGAGCCCGCGUAAGAUUAGCUAGUUGGUGGGGUA